rnacentral:rRNA from 1 species
UACGUAGGGUGCAAGCGUUAAUCGGAAUUACUGGGCGUAAAGCGUGCGCAGGCGGUUAUGUAAGACAGAUGUGAAAUCCCCAGGCUUAACUUGGGAACUGCGUCUGAUACUGGGAGGCUUGAGUGCGGGAGAGGGAUGUGGAAUUCCAGGUGUAGCGGUGAAAUGCGUAGAUAUCUGGAGGAACACCGGUGGCGAAGGCGGCAUCCUGGACCGACACUGACGCUGAGGCGCGAAAGCUAGGGGAGCAAACGGG